AUAUCUGUCUUUUCCUUCAGGGCUAUUCUUUAAGAAAAUUAUAAUAGUAACCAUCCAGACACUUGAAGAUAUUAUGGGUAGGUGGAUCCCUCUAAUAAAGUAGGCUACUGAACGUCAUUGUAAACGUGUUUCUGAUACAAGGGCGGCUUCAAAAUGAAUAGCUCCUACAAGGGGGUUGCUGUGAAUUUAACAAAACACAUCAAAAUAUAAUUAGAGACUGAACUUAAAAGCAAGCUGCAGAAGAAAAUGAAAUGGAAGACUUAAGGAUGGACUAGGCCUCUCAGACAAGCCAAGGCCCGGGGUUGGCUGGAGAGGAAUGCUUCAAAUCCUGCCCUCACCCUGGCCGAGCUCUUUCACCCUCUGCAGAUCUUAGGCCUACUUCUCAGACAUGGCAAAAAGGUGAAAACACAAAUAUUUGAAGCCACUGGUGAAACUGAAGAUAAUGUGCUAAGCACCGGUGCCUAACAUGGUGACGGGAAAAGUUUUUAGCUUAAAAAGGGGCCUUAUUGAAGCAACGACGAUUUACCAAGGAGGGUUUUCUUCCUUCUUUCAAGACAGGAAUAGCAUUGCCAUUAAAGUUUUAAAAUCCAUUAGUAAACACUGCCGUUUACGUUUUGAGGGUCAUUAAUUCUACGUGAGGGUGACAGGGCAAGGUCUCACUGGGGAAACCUCAGCCUUCCCGGAACCAGACUUUCUUGGGGAACGGAAUUUUGAGCCAAGCAAGCCCUUGCUGAAAAGGUAGGCCAUUAAAAAAUAAAAGUUGACAGAAGAAAGAAGAGAUCAAACACGUAUUGGCUUUUUAAAAGGAUGAAUGCCGCUUACACUGUUUACAGAACUCGCAGAAUUAGCAAGAAGAUCACCUACCCGUAUGAGUCCUCAGGUGAGCUUUUAAGUGAGACGACUUUGUAUAAACUUUUGUGCAACCUAGAAGAAGAAAGGGAACAGAGGAAGAACAGCUUGUCAUCUCCAGGGCCUUUUGAAAUCUUUACAUUCGAUGAUUCACUGUUUAAAACCUGGCUCUAAAGAUGAACUAGCUUGUGCUAGAGGGUCACACUCGAAGCUUUGGCUAAGAAGUUUCAAGGUGCCCUCCUGACCUUAUUAGAAGGCAGAGGUGAUCUGCUCUAUGUAUCAUUUUUGGGAGCAAAGAACACAGGUUAACCCAGCCAACCAAUAAAUGGAAAUUCUGUGUU
rnacentral:lncRNA from 1 species